AACCAGCACCUCAAGUGGUCAGGAUGAUUAUUGGGCCUAAAGCAUCCGUAGCCUGUUCUGUAAGUUUUCGGUUAAAUCUGUACGCUCAACGUACAGGCUGCCGGGAAUACUGCAGAGCUAGGGAGUGGGAGAGGUAGACGGUACUCGGUAGGAAGGGGUAAAAUCCUUUGAUCUAUUGAUGACCACCUGUGGCGAAGGCGGUCUACCAGAACACGUUCGACGGUGAGGGAUGAAAGCUGGGGGAGCAAACCGG
rnacentral:rRNA from 1 species